rnacentral:rRNA from 1 species
AGUGAACGCUGGCGGUAGGCCUAACACAUGCGAGUCGAACGGCAGCACAGUAAGAGCUUGCUCUUACGGGUGGCGAGUGGCGGACGGGUGAGGAAUACAUCGGAAUCUACUUUUUCGUGGGGGAUAACGUAGGGAAACUUACGCUAAUACCGCAUACGACCUACGGGUGAAAGCAGGGGAUCUUCGGACCUUGCGCGAUUGAAUGAGCCGAUGUCGGAUUAGCUAGUUGGCGGGGUAAAGGCCCACCAAGGCGACGAUCCGUAGCUGGUCUGAGAGGAUGAUCAGCCACACUGGAACUGAGACACGGUCCAGACUCCUACGGGAAGCAGCAGUGGGGAAUAUUGGACAAUGGGCGCAAGCCUGAUCCAGCCAUACCGCGUGGGUGAAGAAGGCCUUCGGGUUGUAAAGCCCUUUUGUUGGGAAAGAAAAGCAGCAGGUUAAUACCCCGCUGUUCUGACGGUACCCAAAGAAUAAGCACCGGCUAACUUCGUG